rnacentral:rRNA from 1 species
AGUGAACGCUGGCGGUAGGCCUAACACAUGCAAGUCGAACGGCAGCACAGUAAGAGCUUGCUCUUACGGGUGGCGAGUGGCGGACGGGUGAGGAAUACAUCGGAAUCUACUUUUUCGUGGGGGAUAACGUAGGGAAACUUACGCUAAUACCGCAUACGACCUACGGGUGAAAGCAGGGGAUCUUCGGACCUUGCGCGAUUGAAUGAGCCGAUGUCGGAUUAGCUAGUUGGCGGGGUAAAGGCCCACCAAGGCGACUAUCCGUAGCUGGUCUGAGAGGAUGAUCAGCCACACUGGAACUGAGACACGGUCCAGACUCCUACGGGAGGCAGCAGUGGGGAAUAUUGGACAAUGGGCGCAAGCCUGAUCCAGCCAUACCGCGUGGGUGAAGAAGGCCUUCGGGUUGUAAAGCCCUUUUGUUGGGAAAGAAAAGCAGCAGGUUAAUACCACGCUGUUCUGACGGUACCCAAAGAAUAAGCACCGGCUAACUUCGUG